rnacentral:rRNA from 1 species
CCCUUAGAUGUUCUGGGCGGCCCGCGCACUACAAUGGCGUGUGCAGCGAGUGCCGAAGUAGAGUUUUCCGAGGUAUUCUUGCAAUGCUCGUUUUGAUGGGGAUAGACCCUUGCAACUGUUGGUUUUGGACGAGGAAUUCCUUGUAAGCAUGGUUUAUCAUCCGACGCUGAAUGCGUCCCUGCCCUUUGUACACACCGCCCGUCGCUCCUACCGAUGAGUCGUCCGGUGAAGUUCGUAGACCUCGUGAUCGCGGAUCACUGGGGGAAGCAAAAUGAACCUCGCGGUUUAGAGGAAGGAGAAGUCGUAACA